rnacentral:misc_RNA from 1 species
GUUAGACAUAUUUUUUGCUAUAAUUUUAUGACAGGACCCACAAUGUCUUCCAGCUCUUCAAUCUAUGAAUGAAUUCUUUAACAGAGUUAAUGACAGCUUUCAAGAACUGAAGACAAUGGGACACACUUUAUCCAAGGAUUAAUCCUUUACAGGAAUUGGUAUAUAGGGGCUUUGAUUUUUAAUUAUUUACAAGAAUUAAGCCAUGGUGAAAUAUAUUUUUUUAAAAGAAAAUUAUUAAGAUCACUGUGUGGAUGAAGAAUCCCUGCAAUGACAUGGCAGUCUUAGACCCAGAAAGAAAAAUCUAAUGAAUAAAAUUGUGCAUCCCUUGCUUAGAAUUGCUUGCAAAUACUUAUUCGAUAAAACAGUAAGUGCUAGAUGUGGUAUCUAAACGCUAACUAAUUCAUAAUGAAGAGAGUCUUACAAAACUUUUUUCAAAAAUUUCUGUACUCUUAUGCAGAUCAAUUGCAAAAUAGAAUGUUAGAAGCUGCAGAUUGGUAAUUGUUGACUUGUAAUUGCUUGAUGAAAACUGA